rnacentral:rRNA from 1 species
GACGAACGCUGGCGGCGUGCUUAACACAUGCAAGUCGAACGGUGAAGCGCCUUCCUUUUUGGUGGGUGGGGAUGAGUGGCGAACGGGUGAGUAACACUUGAGUAACCUGCCCCCUUCUUCUGGAUAACCGCAUGAAAGUUUGGCUAAUACGGGAUAUUCUGGGUCUGUCGCAUGAUGGGUCUGGUAAAGAUAUUGUUUCUGUGGUGGAUGCGCUCGCGGCCUAUCAGCUUGUUGGUGGGGUGAUGGCCUACCAAGGCGGUGACGGGUAGACGGCCUGAGAGGGUAGACGGUCACACUGGGACUGCGACAAGGGCGAGACUCCUACGGGAGGCAGCAGUGGGGAAUAUUGCACAAUGGGCGCAAGCCUGAUGCAGCGACGCGGCGUGAGCGAUGGAGGCCUUCGGGUUGUGAACCUCUUUCGCCAGUGAAGCAGGCCUGCCUCGUUUGUGGGUGGGUUGACGGUAGCUGGAUAAGAAGCGCCGGCUAACUACGUG